rnacentral:miRNA from 1 species
UAGGUCGGGCCUGGGGGGCAGG